ACUCUGGACAGACUGCUCGCUUAAACGAGGAGGGAAGGUGGGGAUGACGUCAAGUCAGUAUGGCCCUUACGGCCAGGGCUGCACACGUACUACAAUGCCCGGCACAAGGGAAGCAAUACCGUAAGGUGGAGCAAAUCCCAAAAACCGGGCCCAGUUCAGAUUGCCGUCUGCAACUCGACGGCAUGAAGCUGGAAUCGCUAGUAAUGGCGCAUCAGCUACGGCGCCGUGAAUACGUUCCCAGGCCUU
rnacentral:rRNA from 1 species